UACAGAGGGGGCAAGCGUUGUUCGGAAUUACUGGGCGUAAAGGGCGCGUAGGCGGCCUGUUAAGUCGAACGUGAAAUCCCCGGGCUCAACCCGGGAACUGCGUCCGAUACUGGCAGGCUUGAAUUCGGGAGAGGGAGGCGGAAUUCCAGGUGUAGCGGUGAAAUGCGUAGAUAUCUGGAGGAACACCGGUGGCGAAGGCGGCAUCCUGGACCGAGAUUGACGCUGAGGCGCGAAAGCCAGGGGAGCAAACGGG
rnacentral:rRNA from 1 species